UCCGGGUUGGACCCGGCGGUCCCGCCAGACAUCGUAACUGGCAGCGAGGGUUGCGCUCGUUGCGGGACUUAACCCAACACCUCACGGCACGAGCUGACGACAGCCAUGCAGCAUCUGUGCGCUUGCAGCACCAUGUCAAGCCCAGGUAAGGUUCUUCGCGUUGCAUCGAAUUAAAGAACAUGCUCCGCUGCUUGUGCGGGCCCCCGUCAAUUCUUUUGAGUUUUAGCCUUGCGGCCGUACUCCCCAGGCGGAACACUUAUCGCGUUAGCUGCGGCACGGAGGGAUUCGACUCCCCCCACACCUAGUGUUCAUCGUUUACGGCUAGGACUAC
rnacentral:misc_RNA from 1 species